rnacentral:rRNA from 1 species
GACGAACCGUGCGAACGUUGUUCGGAAUCACUGGGCUUAAAGGGCGCGUAGGCGGUCGUCCGAGUCCGGGGUGAAAUCUUUCGGCCUAACCGGAAAAGGGCCCUGGAUACUGGACGGCUCGAGGGGGGUAGGGGCAAGCGGAACUUCCGGUGGAGCGGUGAAAUGCGUUGAUAUCGGAAGGAACGCCGGCGGCGAAAGCGGCUUGCUGGACCCCUCCUGACGCUGAGGCGCGAAAGCCAGGGGAGCGAACGGG